AUUGAACGCUGGCGGCAGGCCUAACACAUGCAAGUCGAACGAGUGGCGGACGGGUGAGUAAUGUAUGGGAAACUGCCUGAUGGAGGGGGAUAACUACUGGAAACGGUAGAUAAUAGCGCAUACCAUCGGAUGUGCCCAGAGUGGAUUAGCUAGUAGGUGGGGUAACGGCUCACCUAGACGACGAUCCCUAGCUGGGCUGAGAGGAUGACCAGCCACACUGGAACUGAGACACGGUCCAGACUCCUACGGGAGGCAGCAGUGGGGAAUAUUGCACAAUGGGCGCAAGCCUGACGCAGCCAUGCCGCGUGUAUGAAGAAGGCCUUCGGGUUGUAAAGUACUUUCAUUGGGGAGGCGUUACCCGCAGAAGAAGCACCGGCUAACUCCGUGCCAGCAGCCGCGGUAAUUC
rnacentral:rRNA from 1 species